AGGUGAGUUUACCCACUUUUAUUUACUGCUACGCCACCAGACUGCGCUUCAGCAUAAAUUGGUUCAAGGUGCCUUGUUUCAGCAGUCAUACAGAGAACUGGCUUCUUAGUGAUGCUGUAACUCAAAGGUGUGCAAAAUCACUGCCUAAGUGGGAAUAAAAUUAUCGUAAGCACAAUUAUGCCUGUGCUGAAAGGACAGGGUCAGAAGAGAGAAUCCAAAAUGUCAACAAGACUAGUUCAUGAUGGAUUGUCCCAGACAAAGCUGUCCAAUGUUAUACAUCACAAAAAGUUAAAAGAUGAUGUAAUUUAUAUGUUAGACUCAUUGUCAAUACACACCAGAACCCGAGAAAUGGCAAAAUCAGUUGUAGUACUUUCAGCCAUAUGGCACGUUUUGGGAUGUGUGGUGAGGGUGGUUGGCAAUACGUGAUUUUUGUCUUCAGCAUGUCAGGAAAGCAUUUUCGAGCUGACAGUAACUUUUGCAUUUGGGACUGAUAAUCCUGGGGGACCCCGUGUCAGUUUGCUUUCUCCUCCUUGGCUUCACAACAACCUGCUCUACUUUCAAAAGAGAAGGUCUUUAUGCGGCCAGAAGGGUCUUUGAGUAAGUCCUUCUGCUCCAGAGUUUUGGCAUUGACUGUUCAAACCUCUCGGGGUGGUGCAUCAUGGUUAGACUGAACUACUCAAGAGCAAUUUGGGGGCAUUAGUGGCUUCUACUAGAUCUCAGAUGUUUCUUGCAGGGCUUCUUGUGCUCCUACCCUGAUAUUUCAUUUCUUCCUUUUUGUUUUAGCCACUUUUUACACUAAAACAACAUAUUUCUUUAGUAAACAUCCACAAAAGUCUGGUCAACAUCCAGUGUUCACAUAUUGCUUUGGAAGACGUCCGUGUUCAUGGCUGCUGAAAAAAAGAAGUAGGAGAUGAAAACGUCACUCUUUUCUUUGCUUCCAAUCUAAACGCAUCCUGGUCAUUACAGGUGGGAAUGGAAGAGCUACCUCUUGUUGUAGCUGCCUGAUAUUUCUAUGGAAAGAAAUACUGAUUAUAAUGUUUCUAGAUUAUAUGAACAAGGGCAAAAUUUUCUGUUGUUACCCAGAUCUUUAGGAGUGAGAACAAAGAUCAUGGCAUUCAACUUCCAGGAUGCAAAGAAAAGCAGUUAUGCCAGUCAAGUCAAGUCAAAAAGGUCUGGAAAAAGCCCAGGUUGUAUGUAUGCAGCAAAGCAGCAACAGACAUAUUUGAAGGUUCUUCUCUCCCUGCAAAACCUUAAUUUGCUCACUUUUCUGAAUGCAUGCAGGCACCCUCAGUAACUGAGUGCAGUGCUGCUGGAAAUGAGCACAGGCUGCCCCUUCUGCUCCCACCUGCUCUGUGCUGCUUCCGGGGAGACUUGUUAUUGGCAGGCACGUGGGCCAGACAGCAGAACUCCCUGGCACAGGGGUGGAGGGGAAGGGAUAGCGUGAAAAAAGGAGAACGUGGAGGCACAGAUUUUGGUUCCCCUCUGGAAGUUGGAAGGGGAGAGAAACUAUGACUUGGCCUCUGCAGGUUAGGAGUGAGAGCUGAAAAUGAGAAAAGUGGAGUAGGAAUGGUUUGGCAAAGAAAUUAGAGCUGGGUGAAGAAGGCACCUGGGUCUGAGGGUUGGGAGGAGGAUCCUGCUGUCUGAAAGAAAAGGAAAGCUUAAUGAGGGCACUCCAAGUAAGUGGGAAGCUGUGUGGAGAGCUGGAGUACCUAGGACUGGCUGGGUAAAGGAGUCUCAGACUUCUUGAGCCAUAAAGAAAGGGUUGGGACAUGGUGGGAAAGCAGGCACAGGCAGAAUUUUCAUCUGCGGUGGAGCAAAGAGAGAGGUCCAAGGAGUGGAGAACAGAUUGAGAGGGACUGGCUUCAGGUGGACUAAGUAAGAGAACUGUAAGUCUCUUGGACCUUGCAUUGGACCAUAUUUAUUUUCUUAGGUUAGCCUGCAGAAGACAAGAUCAUAGAUAGUGAUUUUUGAUUUUAAUGUAAUUUGCUAUUAUGUUCCUAAACAAAAAAGGCACUUGCUACAUAUAUAAAAAUAUACAUAUAUACAUUUAUUUAUUCAGAGGCAUACAAAGAUGGUAUCUGCAUGCUAGAUGUUAGAUGUGAUGUGGUAAAAAUGAUAAUUAAAUUGCUUAGGAUAACCAUAAGCCCCCUUCCCUCCCAUGUGUUCGCUGAGGGUACAGAAAAGACACCAGAACAACACUUUAGGUGAGACACCUAGAAGGAGGCUGAAGCUCAGGGUUACAAUGCCUAAUUUUCAGAUACCUGCAUUUCCAAGGGAAUCCUCAGUCUGUAACAGCACUCCAAGUUAUCGUAAUUACAAUUGUGGUAAGUGGGCACCUCUGGAGGGGCAUGCUGGCUGGCCUCAACCUGUUAAUAAAAAAUGGUGAACAAUGGCAGUUUCUCUUCUCUUAUCAAGAAUUGUUCUCUUCUCUUUCCCGGGUGAUUUUGGAGAGCAGGAUGCAGGCAGCGAGGGUGAGGAUCGUGUCACCUAACUUGAGAUGUCUGCAAUGCAGGGACCAUUUUCAGUCAUCAAGAGACACAGCUCAUCUGCUGUGUCUGCUCUGGGAUGAAACGCAGUGCCUAGGAAUUUGCAUCCUGGGAGUGAUUGAUACUCUAAGUGUGAUGAAGCUGACUGCCAUCCCCUACCACACAGUGGACACAACAUAGGAUGGCCCUGCCUGCUUCUUGCUGGAGUCAGCACCCCUCUCUGACUCUCACCUUGCUUCAGCUAUGUGUGAAAAAAUAUUCACUCCAAUGGCCUCGAGAUCAUCAGAGAAACAGCAUCAUUUAAAGAGGGCAUGUGAAUACUUAGACAGAGCUUUAUUGCAUUUUAAUCACUAUUCCCUUAAACCUAUAAAUAUACCCUAAUGCUAAAAUCAGUUUUGAACUUUUAAACUUGAUUUUAAGGCCGUCUUUUUUUUCCCCUUUCCUUAACUGAAAUGGGAAAAAAAUACCUAAACAAAAAUCUGCAUAAUGAUUGUGCACUGUAAGUUGCUGUGCUCUUUUGCAUAAAAGAUUUUCCAUAUUACAGCAGGGGGCUUUCUCCUGCUAUGUCAGUAAGAAGAAGAAAAUUCAUUUCUUACACCCGCCUGUCAUUUGCCCUUUUAUGAUCGAACCGUAUACCAUCAGGCACAAAAAUGACAAAAGCUUUUGCAACUGAAUACAUCUGAUAAUUGCUGUGUUUGGCUAAAUUUAGGACUACAGUGGCUGAUACUGCAGUGUUUGGUAGAGGAAAAAAAUGAAGAUACGUUGUGUUAUCCUAUUUUACAGUCUGUGAGACUUCAGUAAUUACCUUACAUGAUCCAUCACCUGAAACAGUGUUUCUAUUCUGUUAAACUUCUAGAUUUUAAGGAUUAUUAUUUUUUUUUUUUUUGAUUUUAAGGAUUUUUCUUUUUUUUUAAUACAAACCAAGCCUCUAACGCUUCAAAGAAGCGAGUACCCAUGGGGUUGCCGUUUCGGUUUAUGAAUUUUGAGGUUAAAGCGAUUCACUUUUAGAGAGAGCCUGCAAGGCAUGUUCAACCCCUGGGGUUUGUGAGCUUUGGGGCAUGAGGGCUAUGAGAUCUUCCCAAGAAACAUGUUGCUGUACUGGUACUGUAGGAAGUUAUAGGAAAGUCAGGGAGGUUUUGCAAAUGGAAAUCCCACAGAAUUUUCCCUUUAUAUAAGGGAGACAAUGUCUAUGUAUGUGCUGCCUUUGGAAGCAUCCUGUGCAAGGUACUUGUGUUAACCAAGAAUAUUGUAUUUACUCAAAUAAACUGGACUUAGCAAUUGAUACAUUUUGAAAUUUAGGUGGGAGCCACAUGGUCUAGAUGACCUUUAAAGGUCUCUUCUGACCUCUAACAAUUCUAUGAUUCUGUGAUUUUAUGA